AGCUGCUUAGUUUAAGGAAAACACGGGUUUUCAAAACCCGAAAUGAAGUUUCAGCAGUUG
rnacentral:tRNA from 1 species